AGUCUUAUAGUCAAAAAUGAUAUGAAAUUGCAAAUUUUAAGGAGUAAUUAAAAUAUACUAAGGCUU
rnacentral:tRNA from 1 species